ACAGAGGGUGCGAGCGUUAAUCGGAUUUACUGGGCGUAAAGCGUGUGUAGGUGGUUCAUUGCGUCGGUUGUGAAAUCCCCGGGCUCAACCUGGGAACUGCUUCCGAUACGGGUGGACUAGAGUACGGUAGAGGGUGGUGGAAUUUCCGGUGUAGCGGUGAAAUGCGUAGAUAUCGGAAGGAACAUCAAUGGCGAAGGCAGCCACCUGGGCCUGUACUGACACUGAGACACGAAAGCGUGGGGAUCAAACAGG
rnacentral:rRNA from 1 species